UUUUUGGGGAAAUUUUUGGGGAUUUUUUUGGAAAUUUGGGGGUAAAUUCUGUGGAUUUUUGGGUUUUUUGGGGGGGAAUUUUUGGGGGAUUUUUGGGGAUUUUUUCGGGAAUUUUUUGGGAUUUUUUUGGGGAUUUUUCGGGGAAUUUUUGGGGAAUUUUUCGGGUCCAUUUUGUGGAAUUUUGGGGGAGUUUUGGACAAAUUUGGGGGGAAUUUGGGGAAUUUGGGGGAGUCCCAGGUGAGUUCCAGCUGUAUCCAGGUGUCCCCAGCUGUCCCCAGGUGUGUCCAGGUGUCCCCAGGUGUCUCCAGGUGUCUCCAGGUGUAUCUCAGGUGUCUCCAGUUGUCCCCAGGUGUGUCCCCAGCUGUCCCCAGGUGUCCCCAGGUGUCCCCAGGUGUCCCCAGGUGUCCCCAGCUGUGUCUCAGCUGCAGGGCCGGAAGGGCCGGGCGGUGACGCCCCCGUGCAGCUCCAGCCCCGCCCUGGCCCAGGCCAGCAGGUCCCCGCGGGCGGGUGACGCACACCUGGCCAGCGCCGCCACCUCGGGCGGGGCCAGGGCGCGGCUCCACAGGUGGAACUCGGCCAAUUCGCCCACGAACGCCUGGGUGGCGUCAAAACGACCCCCGAGGGAGUCCUGGGGGAGAGAGACAGGGGGGAUACACCUGAGGAGGGGUGAAAUACACCUGGGACAGGUGAAAGACACCUGGGGAGGGAUGAAAUACACCUGGGGAGGGGUGAAAUACACCUGGGGAGGGGUAAAAUACACCUGGAGAGGGGUGAAAUACACCUGGGGACACACAGACACACCCGGGGACAGGUAAAAUACACCUGGGGAGGGGUGAAAUACACCCAGAGCACACACAGACACACCUGGGGACACCUGGGACAGGUGAAAUACACCUGGAGACACACAGACACACCUGGGGACACGUGGGGAGGGGUGAAAUACACCUGGAGAGGGGUGAGACACACCUGGGGACACACAGACACACCUGGGGACACACAGACACACCUGGGGACACACAGACACACCUGGGGAGGGGUAAAACACACCUGGGACACACCUAAACACACCUGGAGUUCACCCAGACACACCUGAACUCACACCUGAACUCACACCUGAACUCACACCUGAACUCACACCUGAACUCACACCUGAACU
rnacentral:lncRNA from 1 species